GGUAGCAGUACUGGUGAAGACCUAGGGGCCAACGGGUGAGUAACACGUGAGCAACCUGCCCCGAAGACUGGGAUAACAGCGGGAAACCGCUGCUAAUACCGGAUGCCCCCACCGGGUCGCAUGGCCUGGUGAGGAAAUGGAUUCCGCUUCGGGAGGGGCUCGCGGCCUAUCAGCUUGUUGGUGGGGUAAUGGCCUACCAAGGCAACCACGGGUAGCUGGUCUGAAAGGACGAUCAGCCACACUGGGACUGAGACACGGCCCACACUCCUACGGGAGGCAGCAGUGGGGAAUAUUGCGCAAUGGGCGAAAGCCUGACGCAUCAACGCCGCGUGAGGGAUGAAUGCCUUCGGGUUGUAAACCUCUUUCGAGCAGGGACGAUAAUGACGAUACCUGCAGAAGAAGCCCCGGCUAACUACAUGCCAGCAGCCGCGGUGAGACGUAGGGGGCAAGCGUUGUCCGGAUUUAUUGGGCGUAAAGAGCUCGUACGCGGCUUGGCAAGUCGGAUGUGAAAUCUCCAGGCUUAACCUGGAGUCGCCAUCCGAUACUGCUAUGGCUAGAGUCCGGUAGAGGAUCGUGGAAUUCCUGGUGUAGCGGUGAAAUGCGCAUAUAUCA
rnacentral:rRNA from 1 species